CUUUGCGCACAUUUUGCCCUUCCUAAAUCGCCAUAAAUAAACAUGAAUUUGCUAUCAAAAUGCGCCAAAUUUCACGAAGACGUCAAAUCUGGCGGUAACUGGAGUCAAAGACCUGCGCAUAAGGUCCUAGUGCCAGUUUUCUUCAACAGACACUGCGCGCGAGGCGAAUUUCCUAUAUAAAUCAUAACAAAUAGCGCAUAAUCAAACGAAAAGUGCCCUUCGAGUUAAGUAUUAUUUUCCCAUAAAAGUACAUUCAAAAAACGUCUAAAGGCUUAUUCUUUCCUAUACCGUAGGUAACUGAACACAGAUAUAAUCGUAGAGCAAACGUAAGCGAAAAAACAUCAAAUUUGGGGGUGAUUUGUAUAGGCAUAAGUUGGAAAUAUGACACGCGCAAUACGAUAUGACUUUUUGUUAACGCAAAGUUUGAUAUGAACUGUUCACUAAAAUAAACAUGACCUCUUUCAGAAUAUUUAUAAGGAA